GAUGAACGCUGGCGGCGUGCCUAAUACAUGCAAGUCGAGCGAACAGAUAAGGAGCUUGCUCCUUUGACGUUAGCGGCGGACGGGUGAGUAACACGUGGAUAACCUACCUAUAAGACUGGAAUAACUCCGGGAAACCGGGGCUAAUGCCGGAUAAUAUUUAGAACCGCAUGGUUCUAUAGUGAAAGAUGGUUUUGCUAUCACUUAUAGAUGGAUCCGCGCCGUAUUAGCUAGUUGGUAAGGUAACGGCUUACCAAGGCAACGAUACGUAGCCGACCUGAGAGGGUGAUCGGCCACACUGGAACUGAGACACGGUCCAGACUCCUACGGGAGGCAGCAGUAGGGAAUCUUCCGCAAUGGGCGAAAGCCUGACGGAGCAACGCCGCGUGAGUGAUGAAGGUCUUCGGAUCGUAAAACUCUGUUAUUAGGGAAGAACAAAUGUGUAAGUAACUAUGCACGUCUUGACGGUACCUAAUCAGAAAGCCACGGCUAACUACGUG
rnacentral:rRNA from 1 species